UGGGGAAUAUUGGACAAUGGGCGAAAGCCUGAUCCAGCCAUGCCGCGUGUGUGAAGAAGGUCUUCGGAUUGUAAAGCACUUUAAGUUGGGAGGAAGGGCAGUAAGCGAAUACCUUGCUGUUUUGACGUUACCGACAGAAUAAGCACCGGCUAACUCUGUGCCAGCAGCCGCGGUAAUACAGAGGGUGCAAGCGUUAAUCGGAAUUACUGGGCGUAUAGCGCGCGUAGGUGGUUCGUUAAGUUGAAUGUGAAAGCCCCGGGCUCAACCUGGGAACUGCAUCCAAAACUGGCGAGCUAGAGUAGGGCAGAGGGUGGUGGAAUUUCCUGUGUAGCGGUGAAAUGCGUAGAUAUAGGAAGGAACACCAGUGGCGAAGGCGACCACCUGGGCUCAUACUGACACUGAGGUGCGAAAGCGUGGGGAGCAAACAGG
rnacentral:rRNA from 1 species